rnacentral:rRNA from 1 species
GAUGAACGCUAGCUACAGGCUUAACACAUGCAAGUCGAGGGGCAGCAUUAGGUAGCAAUACUGAGAUGGCGACCGGCGCACGGGUGCGUAACGCGUAUCCAACUUUCCCGUUACUCUGGGAUAGCCUUCCGAAAGGGAGAUUAAUACCGGAUGGUGUUGAAAAAUCGCAUGUUCUUUCAACUAAAGAUUUAUCGGUAACGGAUAGGGAUGCGUGACAUUAGGUAGAUGGCGGGGUAACGGCCCACCAUGCCCACGAUGUCUAGGGGUUCUGAGAGGAAGGUCCCCCACACUGGAACUGAGACACGGUCCAGACUCCUACGGGAGGCAGCAGUGAGGAAUAUUGGUCAAUGGUCGGAAGACUGAACCAGCCAAGUAGCGUGAAGGAUGAAGGUUCUAUGGAUUGUAAACUUCUUUUAUAUAGGAAUAAAGCCCACUACGUGUAGUGGUUUGUAUGUACUAUAUGAAUAAGCAUCGGCUAACUCCGUGCCAGCCGCCGCCGUAAUAC